GACUCAUCGCAUCCUGGGGCUGGAGAAGGUCCCAAGGGUUUGGCUGUUCGCCAAUUAAAGCGGUACGCGAGUUGGGUUCAAAACGUCGUGAGACAGUUUGGUCCCUAUCUUUUGUGGGCGUAGGAUACUUGAGAGGAGCUGCUUCUAGUACGAGAGGACCGAAGUGGACGAACCAAUGGUGAGCCGGUUGUACUGCCAAGUGCAUAGCCGGGUAGCUAUGUUCGGAAAGGAUAAGCGUUGAAAGCAUAUAAACGCCAAGCCUCCCUCAAGAUAAGGUAUCCCUAUGAGACUCCAUGUAGACCACAUGGUUAAUAGGUUGGAUGUGUAAGUGUAGUAAUACAUUGAGCUUACCAAUACUAAUCAGUCCAUCGGCUUGACCACC
rnacentral:rRNA from 1 species